rnacentral:tRNA from 1 species
UGUGGUGUGGCUCAGUGGCAGAGUGCUCGCCUAGCACGUGCAAAGCCCUGAGUUCGAUCCUCAGCACCACAU